rnacentral:rRNA from 1 species
UACGUAGGGUGCGAGCGUUAAUCGGAAUUACUGGGCGUAAAGCGUGCGCAGGCGGUUCGUUGUGUCGGUGGUGAAAGCCCCGGGCUUAACCUGGGAAUGGCCAUGGAACUGGCGAACUGGAGUGUGGCAGAGGGGGGUGGGAAUUCCGCGUGUAGCAGUGAAAUGCGUAGAGAUGCGGAGGAACACCGAUGGCGAAGGCAGCCCCCUGGGUUAACACUGACGCUCAGGCACGAAAGCGUGGGGAGCAAACAGG